rnacentral:lncRNA from 1 species
GUUCACCAACUUAUUCAUAAUCUUCAAAGUCACCUCAGCCUUAAAUUUAUGCCACCAGAUCCAAUCAACUUUUCAGCGAAGAAAGUUCACUUCACUUUUUAUAUACUUUCGCUUAAAGUUGUAGCAGAUAUUAACAACAAAAAUCGUUGUCAGGAAUCGGUCAAAUUUAUACUGACAUUUUCAUAUUCAAUUAAAAAAAUUAUAUAUAGUGCUUAAUAAUUCAAUAUAAUCUAUUAAUUUUUUUAACAAGAUAAAUUUGUCAAAAUAA